UGGGGAAUCUUGCGCAAUGCGCGAAAGCGUGACGCAGCAACGCCGCGUGGGGGAAGAAGGCCUUCGGGUCGUAAACCCCUUUCAGGAGGGACGAAGCCCGGGCGGUUAAUAGCCGACCCGGGUGACGGUACCUCAAGAAGAAGCCCCGGCUAACUACGUGCCAGCAGCCGCGGUAAUACGUAGGGGGCAAGCGUUGUCCGGAAUCAUUGGGCGUAAAGCGCGCGUAGGCGGUCCGGUAAGUCCGUUGUGAAAGUCCAGGGCUCAACCCUGGAAAGCCGGCGGAUACUGUCGGGCUAGAGUCCGGAAGAGGCGGAUGGAAUUCCCGGUGUAGCGGUGAAAUGCGCAGAUAUCGGGAGGAACACCAAUGGCGAAGGCAGUCCGCUGGGACGGUACUGACGCUGAGGCGCGAAAGCGUGGGGAGCAAACAGG
rnacentral:rRNA from 1 species